rnacentral:rRNA from 1 species
AUUGAACGCUGGCGGCAUGCCUUACACAUGCAAGUCGAACGGCAGCAUGAUCUAGCUUGCUAGAUUGAUGGCGAGUGGCGAACGGGUGAGUAAUACAUCGGAACGUGCCCUGUAGUGGGGGAUAACUAGUCGAAAGAUUAGCUAAUACCGCAUACGACCUGAGGGUGAAAGUGGGGGACCGCAAGGCCUCAUGCUAUAGGAGCGGCCGAUGUCUGAUUAGCUAGUUGGUGAGGUAAAGGCUCACCAAGGCGACGAUCAGUAGCUGGUCUGAGAGGACGAUCAGCCACACUGGGACUGAGACACGGCCCAGACUCCUACGGGAGGCAGCAGUGGGGAAUUUUGGACAGUGGGCGAAAGCCUGAUCCAGCAAUGCCGCGUGUGUGAAGAAGGCCUUCGGGUUGUAAAGCACUUUUGUCCGGAAAGAAAUGGCUCUGGUUAAUACCUGGGGUCGAUGACGGUACCGGAAGAAUAAGGACCGGCUAACUACGUG